rnacentral:rRNA from 1 species
UUGGGUUAAGUCCCGCAACGAGCGCAACCCUCGCCUCUAGUUGCCAGCAUUCGGUUGGGCACUCUAGAGGGACUGCCGGCGACAAGUCGGAGGAAGGUGGGGAUGACGUCAAAUCAUCAUGCCCCUUAUGACCUGGGCUACACACGUGCUACAAUGGGCGGUACGAAAGGGCUGCGAACCCGCGAGGGGGAGCGAAUCCCAAAAAGCCGCUCUCAGUUCGGAUUGCAGGCUGCAACUCGCCUGCAUGAAGCCGGAAUCGCUAGUAAUCGCGGAUCAGCAUGCCGCGGUGAAUACGUUCCCGGGCCUU